ensembl:ncRNA lncRNA:CR45309 long non-coding RNA:CR45309
CAGUUUCUUACAAAAACUCAACGAGUAAAGUCUUCUUAUUUGGGAUUUUACAGCCAUUUAUUAUUGAUGUCCGCAUGCUGAAGUCCCAGCAAAUUAAAGCCGCCGCCUCCAGUUGCCCAGUUACCAAUUUACCCAGCUACCCAGCUACCCAGCUACCCAGCUACCCAGCUACCCAUCUACCCAGUUGCCCAGCUAUCCAGUUAUCCAGCGGUCCGGCAAUUAGGCAACAGCUUAGCCAUAAUGACAUGCAAGGGGAUUAGAGCGCAUGGAGUCGCACAAGACUGCAUCACUGGCCAAGUUGGAGCACAAAGCUCCGGCUUAGGGUGUAAUCCAGAGCGUGUAAUUCCUCCGCUGACCUGCUUCCACUGCCCACCUGGCCAGAAAUUAAUUAGCUCACCAGGGGUCGGGUAAUAAGCGAGGGAGCACUUCAUAAACCUCGGCGACACUGCCAGGUGAAUUACUGAUUUGCGACUUUAACUUUAUGUAUAGGGGACCUGGGACCUAUGUACAAUCCAGAGAAAUUUCAAAGAAAAUAACUUGAAUUUUUAGCGAGUACAAACUGUAUAUACAGAGUACGAAAUGCUAGAAGCCGUAAUAAACUCGAAAAUGCAGAACAUUUG